GAUGAACGCUGGCGGCGUGCCUAAUACAUGCAAGUCGAGCGAACAGACGAGGAGCUUGCUCCUCUGACGUUAGCGGCGGACGGGUGAGUAACACGUGGAUAACCUACCUAUAAGACUGGGAUAACUUCGGGAAACCGGAGCUAAUACCGGAUAAUAUAUUUAACCGCAUGGUUCAAUAGUGAAAGACGGUUUUGCUGUCACUUAUAGAUGGAUCCGCGCCGCAUUAGCUAGUUGGUAAGGUAACGGCUUACCAAGGCGACGAUGCGUAGCCGACCUGAGAGGGUGAUCGGCCACACGGGAACUGAGACACGGUCCAGACUCCUACGGGAGGCAGCAGUAGGGAAUCUUCCGCAAUGGGCGAAAGCCUGACGGAGCAACGCCGCGUGAGUGAUGAAGGUCUUCGGAUCGUAAAACUCUGUUAUUAGGGAAGAACAAAUGUGUAAGUAACUAUGCACGUCUUGACGGUACCUAAUCAGAAAGCCACGGCUAACUACGUG
rnacentral:rRNA from 1 species